AGUGAACGCUGGCGGUAGGCCUAACACAUGCAAGUCGAACGGCAGCACAGUAAGAGCUUGCUCUUACGGGUGGCGAGUGGCGGACGGGUGAGGAAUACAUCGGAAUCUACUUUUUCGUGGGGGAUAACAUAGGGAAACUUACGCUAAUACCGCAUACGACCUACGGGUGAAAGCAGGGGAUCUUCGGACCUUGCGCGAUUGAAUGAGCCGAUGUCGGAUUAGCUAGUUGGCGGGGUCAAGGCCCACCAAGGCGACGAUCCGUAGCUGGUCUGAGAGGAUGAUCAGCCACACUGGAACUGAGACACGGUCCAGACUCCUACGGGAGGCAGCAGUGGGGAAUAUUGGACAAUGGGCGCAAGCCUGAUCCAGCCAUACCGCGUGGGUGAAGAAGGCCUUCGGGUUGUAAAGCCCUUUUGUUGGGAAAGAAAAGCAGCAGGUUAAUACCCCGCUGUUCUGACGGUACCCAAAGAAUAAGCACCGGCUAACUUCGUG
rnacentral:rRNA from 1 species